rnacentral:rRNA from 1 species
UACGAAGGGGGCUAGCGUUGCUCGGAAUCACUGGGCGUAAAGCGCACGUAGGCGGAUUGCUAAGUCAGGGGUGAAAUCCUGGAGCUCAACUCCAGAACUGCCUUUGAUACUGAGAUCUUGAGUUCGGGAGAGGUGAGUGGAACUGCGAGUGUAGAGGUGAAAUUCGUAGAUAUUCGCAAGAACACCAGUGGCGAAGGCGGCUCACUGGCCCGAUACCGACGCUGAGGCACGAAAGCGUGGGGAGCAAACAGG